rnacentral:tRNA from 1 species
GGGGAUUUAGCUCAGUGGUAGAGCGCUUGCCUAGCAAGCGCAAGGCCCUGGGUUCGGUCCCCAGCUCUGGGAAAAAAAAAAAAAAAAGAACACUGACUCCUCUUCCAGAAGUUCUGAGUUCAAUUCCCAGCAUCCACA